UCGGACUGCAGCCCGGCCUGCUGACCGUCGUCAGUAGGAAGGAAGUCCGCUCUCUGGACGAAUCGCGGACACGAGCGAAUCGCCAUCAGGCAAAACCGCCAAAUAAAGCUGUAGCACCGGGAAUCGCCACUGAGCCGUUUUCUGGCGCCACGGCGACCCCUGCGGCGAAGAAUUGUCGGGACUGCAGCUCGGAGACCGGGCUGCGGAUCGGCUUUGGAAGCGUUUUGACUUCUGACUUGGACUUCGUCAUUGCCCGAGGCUCCCGCUCUGCCCACCACCACCGUGGACCCGCGGUGCGGCCGACCAACCGCGGACCCGCGCAAGUUCUCAAGGCCGGAGCCAACCCUGGAGGGCGCGAGUGAGAAGCCCUCAGGCGGGCCGGCUCUGAGCCCUGACCGCGGUACAGGCGCUCCCCAGGGAUGUGGUAUCAGCGCCUCGACGGGAGAAAUAAUGGCGAAAGACCCCCGGAGACAGCGACGCACUGGAGCCCAGGACCGUGCUGUCCGAGUACGGUGGGCACAAUAAAAGGAACGCAGCCGCGACGGAUUUUCGGUCCUGGAAACCCUGCCUUUGCCCUCUUUCCGGCGGCCGGGAACGAACUUCAGGGGACCCUUGCCUGGUGGGAAACGUGCAUUUCGACGGCAUCCGUACGAAAUCCGCUAACAGACAACGGACGAAUUUCCAGCGUUUAGAAACGACGUAGAGCUGCACGUAGACGAACCGAAAACGAACCGCAGACCCGGUGUCCUGACCGCAUCUGGUGCAACUCGGUGUCAGGCUUUUCUCGCGGCGUUUUCCUCACGUCCUACGGUUCGUGUUUCGUCGUACGAGGUUAUGGUGAAAUCCUGCCGCAGUCGGCUUGGCAGAGCCUGAUUAAGGCCGCUAUAGGAAAGAACGAGGCAGAAAACCGCGGGCCCGGAUUGAAAUCGCGGUCCGGGUCUUCUAACCGCGCAUCGAAUCGGCUGGAAGGGCGAAUCCCGGGCACGCGCGGAUGAACGAACGACAAAACCGCAGGAUCUGGCUCUGUGCGCCUGGAAUCGCGGCCAGGCCGAAUUCCAGCGCCACAGCGACCCCUGGAGUGGAGAAGUGUCCGCUGGGAGACGGAGGUGCAGGUCAGUGUCCCAUGAGUUUUGGCUUCAGGUUUGAAUUUUCUUGGCCCCGGCUCCGGCUCUGCUCACCCACCCCCGUGGACUCGGGGCCCGCGGACGAACCGACAACUGGAGCAGGUUCGCGGGGCCGCUCACAAUCUCGGAGAACGCCAGUGAGAAUCCUCAAGCCUGCCGGGUCCGGAGUCUUUCCCGCCUUACCAGGGCUCCUGGGGCCACAGCCGCCUCGCUAACCUAAAAGGUCGGCGACACUGGGUCUGCGAGCGCAGUACUCGAGCCCUGGACCGUGCUGUUCCCGACAACUGUCAGCUCCACAGAAGGGACGCAGGCGCGACGAAGAUUCCGCGGUGCGAACACCGCAUUUGUCUCCCCCAGGCGGCCGGUUCGGAUGUCUUGGGAGACUUGACCGACUUCGGUGGGCACUGAAUCCGCUAAGGUUGGAAAGCCCAGGAAGUAUGGCGUUCAGAAAGGCCUCGGCCCUUUCCUAUAAGGACUGCGAUCUGGUUCUGCCAGGCUGGCUGCAGCCGGAUUCGACCCCAACCACGAACAGGACGACCAGAGGACAAGGACACAAGAAACGUUUGUCGCCCGGUACAAGUGGUGCUUCCGAUGUGUUCGGAACCCUGAGGUUUCUGUUCGUUUUCGCGUCCUCUGCGCUCCAUCCUCCGUUGUUUCCAAUCGCUGAAACUUGGAUUUAUUUUUUCUAACGUUAUCGGAUUCAGUGCCGACUGCCAUCGGCCAAGACACGUUUUCUCCGGACAAGUGUCCCAAGACAUCCCUGCCCGACUAACUGGAACACCACAAGUUCGGUGUUUUCACGACCUUAUCUCCGUCUCCGUUGCCUUCCCUUGGUUCCUCUGAUGGUUUUCAGGGACAGCAGGGUCCAGGGCUCGAGUGCGGCGCUGUCUCCUGUGGCCUUUGUCCUUUCGCCUUCUCUUCUCCGUUCUCAGCGCGGUUACGACUUUUGUACAGCGGGAAAGACGCCGGACCGCGCCGGCGUGAUGGAUUCUCACUCUCACCCUCCGGGGUUGUGACCCGCCUGGAGAUCUGUGCCAGUCGGUGCUUAGUUUUCGGGCCCUCAGGUCCACGGUGGUGGGUGGGCUCAGCCAAUGAAGAAGUGCGAGCCAGAAGCAGAAAUGCUUUGAUACCAGUCUGCAGCUCUGUCUCCCAGCAGAAGGCCGACUUGUUCAUGGCAGUGGUCCUUGUGGCGCCCGCACUCAUCCGCGUGACGAUUUCAUUGCUUUGGAGUUACUGGAUCCGCUUUUAGCGAGCCUGUGUCCGUGACUCGACCUUCCGAGUCGAUGUCCCACGAUAGACGAUGUCGUGCAAUGGACCUUUUCAGCUGGACAAAUUUACUAAUUCGUCCGGCCCCGCCUCCCCGGAAGACUACAAAUACGCAGGGCGGGAGCUUGCAGAAGUCUCCGCCGCCUGCACCAGGGCACAGGCUGCUGUUUGCACUGAGAACGGAGACAGGAUGGCGAAGGACAAAGGAACAGGAGACACUGCCACACUCGAGCCCUGAACUGCGCUCCAGCCCUGAACGGUCCUGGAGAACAUGAGUCAUCCUGCACUUGACCGUCGUGUACACUUGACCGUGCUCGAGCCCUGGGCGGUGCUGCACCCGAAAACCUUGAGAAAACGAAAGGAAAGCAGAGACUACGGAGAUUCAGUCGUACAUCCACCGAAUUGGUCCUCUUUCAGGAAGCCGGGGUCGGAUGCCUUGGGACACUUGCAUGGCGGAAAACGUGCGUUUCGACCGCAUCUGUAUGAAGUCGCCUAACAACAGACAAGGGACGAAUUUCCAGCGGUUAGAAACGACGGCCAGCGGAACGAAGAGGACCCGAAAACGAAUGGAAACCGCGGCUUCCUGAUCGUACCCCGGACCUGAAAUGCACCUCAGGGCCCGCGGACUAACCGCGGACAGGCUUGCCGGUCACAGCCCCGGAGGGUGAGAGUGAGAAGCCGUCACACCGGCGCGGUCAGGCAUCUUUCCCGCGGUACAAAAGCCAUAGCCGCACUGCGAACAGAGAAAAGAAAGCGAAAGGGCGAAGGCCACAGGAGACAGCGCCGCACUCGAGCCCUGGACCCGGAAAACCGUCAGAGCAACCAAGAGAAGUCAGCGUCGACGUAGAUACAGUCCUGAAAAAACCGAACCUGUGGUCAUCCAGUCAGUCGGGCACGGAUGUCUUGGGACACUUGUCCGGAGAAACGUGCCUUGGCCCAUGGCAGUGGGCACUGAAUCUGCCAAUGUGCCAGAUAACGUUAGCGCUAAAAAUAAUAACGCUAAAAAAAAAAAAAAUCGAAGUUUCAGCGUUUAGCAAAAAACGGAGGAUGGAGCGCAGAGGACGCGAAAAAAGAAUCUAAACCGCGGUGUCCUGACCGCAUUGGGUGCACCACUUGCACUGGGGCCCCAAACGUUUCUUGUGUCCUUGUCCUCCUGUCGUCCUGUGCGUGGUUGGGGUCGAAUCCCGCUGCAGUCAGCCUGGCAGAACCGGGUUGCAGUCGCUAUUAGGAAAGGACCGAGGCCUUUCUGAACCCGAAACUUACUCCGGUUUCUUUCCUUAGUGAAUUCAGUGCCCACUGAAACCGGGUAAGACACGUUCACACUCAGCAAGUGUCCCAUGACACCCGAUCCCGCCGCCUGGAGGAGGACAAACGCGCUGUUUGCACCGCGGAAUCUUCGGGGACAACUCGACGGAAUCCGGCUCGGCCAGGCAGGAAGUGAAGACGUUCUGCUGGAACCACGAACCCGAUGGCAUAAGGGAGACCCUGGAGGAAACUUUGGCGCCUUGGUGCGAGUGUGCACGCGACACGGUCAGGGGGAUCGGGCAAGGCACGUUUUCUCCGGACAAGUGUUUCAAGACAUCCGAGCCCGACCGACUGGAUGACCACUAGUCCGGUGUUUUCACGACCGAAUCUCGGCUGCCUUCCUUUAGUUGCGCUGAUGGUUUUCAGGGACAGGAAGAUCCAGGUCUCCAGUGCGCCGCUGUCUCCUAUGGCCUUUGCUCUCUGGCCUUCUUUUCUCUCUUCACAGCGCGGCCACGGCUUUUGUUCCGCGGGAAAGACCCCGGGCCUCACCGGUGUGAAGGCUUCUCACUCUCACCCACCGAGGUUGUGACCGGCCUUGAAAGUCUGCGCCAGGCCGUGGUUAGUCCGCGGGCCCUGAGGUGCAUUUCGGGUCCCAAAUACGGUCAGGAUGCCGCGGUUUCCAUUCGUUUUCGGGUCGUCUUCGUUCAGUUCGCCUUCGUUAUUAGGCGCUGGAAAUUGGUCCGAUUUCUGUCUGUAGGGAAUUUCAUUCCACCGAGCAAGUGUCCCAAGACAUCCGACCCCGGCUUCCUGAAAGAGGACAAAUUCGGUGGAUGGCCGACCGAAUAUCCAUAGUCUCUGCUUUCGUUUCCUUUUGUCAACGAUUUUCGGGUACUGCACGGCCCAGGACUCAGGCGCCAUCAAGUACUCUAGUGUUUGAACACGACCAAGUGCUAGAUAAUGGUCCAGGGUUGGAACACGACCAAGUGCUCCGUGAUGGUACAGGUCUCAAGUGAGCCACUGAUUGCUAUUCCUUUGCCCUCUCUCCAUCCGAACAAAACGCCGGACACCGAGGGUGUGGCUUGGCUUCAAGCGGCUCCAGCGCACUCCAGUGUUCGUUGACAGCCAAGUCCUCCAAUAUGGUCCAGUGCUGGAUGAAGAUCAAGUGUCAAUGACAGCCCUUUCGUGGUCCUUUCUCCGUUCUAGGUGCGGAGACUUUCCAGGACGGCAAGAUGCCCGACGCUGCAGGCGUGAGGGCUUCUCACUCACACCUUAUGGGCUUGUGACCCGCCUGGAGAGUCUGCCCCAGUCGGCGGUGAGGCCGACCAAGUGCUCUAUGAUGGUCAAGCGCUCCAUGACAGUCCAAUGCUCAACUCAAUGCCUGUCUAGUGCUCGAUGACAGUCAAAUGCUCGAUAAAGGUCAAGUGCUCGCUGAUGGUCCAGAGCUCGAUGAAGGUUCAUGGGAUUUUUGUUCUGAUGCCGUCGAAAUGCGCGUUUUCCGCGGGGCAAAUCUCCCAGGACAUCCGACCCCGACCACCUGAAAGAGAACGAAUUCGGCGGUUACUCGACCGAAUCUCCUUCGCGUCCGAGUUCCUUUUAUUGCGUCGACGGUUUCCGUGGACAGCGUGGUCCAGAGCACGAUGGAGUCGCUGUCUCCAAGGGCCUUCGCUCUCCAGUCCUCCUGUCUCUGCUCCCGGCAUGGCUACCUCCCUGGCCAGUGCUGGUACCUGCUGGCAAGAUGCAGGACUCCCCCUGUCUGAAGGCUUCUCACUGGCACUCUCCGCUCUUUGGCGGGGAGUUUCAUCUGGGCCAGUCCGGGGUUAACACCUAGGUUCCACCCUGGUGGGUGGGUACAGCCGGACUGGGACCAAUGAAGAAGUCCCUGAAAGAAGCCAAACCGCUUUUCAGGCCAAUCCGCAGCUCCGACUCUGGCUGCAGACCUGAGGCUUCUUCCCCAUCAGGGGUCACUGUGGUGCUGUGUUCUCCUUCCCAGCGAUUGCCAUGGCACAAAGUCAGAGCUCUGGAGCUUCUGGACCAGUGUUCAGUUCGCAUCUGUGAUUAGUCCUCUGAGUCGAGUUCAGUCAGAUAGGCUGCCUGCAAGCUUGGGAGAGGGUCUUUUUGUGGCGCCCAAAGAUAUUUCUCUGGUGGGGCGCUGUUUGGGGUGCCUUCUCUAUGUCCUUCCCCUCAAGGGCCGGGCUAAUGCCUAGGAGAGUUUCCAUACAACACACAAAACUCUGGAUUACCUGGCCUGAGGGCUUUUCUCUCACAACCUGUGGAUUUUGGUCUGGCCUUGGGAUCCAGGGCAAGACCAGUUUUUCAGCCAGUCCGUUUUUCCCACUGUUGGGAGGGAUCAGUGGGAUCCUGGGACCUUGAGGAAGUAGAUAUCAGAAAGUGACAUGGUCCAGAUGGAGAUCCUUACUUAACUCAGCCUCUGAGCUCCAGGAAGUUCCUUGAUUCACUGCAAUUUAUUUGGCUUGGCUGUCAGUACUGUAGCACGGAUCUUUAAAGGUCUUAUUAAUAAAAUCAAAUCCAGGGACAGGUAUUGGGGUGAACGCUGGAAGACCAGAGAAGCAGAACAAGCUACAACUUCCUCACUCUGCAAAUUCCUCAGCUGAUCCUGUUUCCUC